rnacentral:lncRNA from 1 species
UUCUAAUUAAGGUAUGUACAUUGUUUACUUAGAUGUAAUGCUACUGUACACUUAAUUUAUAGUAUAUUGUAAACAUAACUUCUAUAUGCACUGAGAAACCAGAAAUUUAUGUGACUCACUUUGUGGAUAUAUUCACUUUAUUAUAGUGGUAUGGAAUUAAGACUACAGUAUCUCAGAGGUGUGCCUGUAUUUACAUAUGUGUGGACAGAGUAAGGCACUAUGGUUUGAAUACUUGUGUCCCCUCUGAAAUCCAUGUUGAAACUUCAUCCCCAAUGCAACACUAUUAAGAAGUGUGGCCUUUGAGAGGUGAUUUGGUCAUGAAGGCUCUGCCCUCAUUAGUGCUCUUAUAAAAGGGCUAGAGAGAACUAGCUCAGCCCCCUUUUCACUUCCACCCUUCUGCCAUGUCAGGACACAACACUUGUUUCCUCUGGAGGAACCAGCAGCAAGGUGCCAUCUUGGAAGCAGUGAACAGGCUUUCAGCAGACACCAAACCCACUAGUGCCCUGGUCUUGGACUUCCACCCUCUAGAACUCCCAGGGUAACCAGCAGCUGAAAUCACAAGAACUUAUCUACCAGCCCACAACAUAAUUUACUUCAUUAGAAAGUUUUCCACAAGCUGGCAUUGGAAACUUGGGCUUUAGAAGUGAAAGAAAUCAAUUUAUCCCCUGCUCUGAGCCAUCCUGCCUUACGUGGCUGAUUUCUAAACCACCACACAGGCCUUGUUACAUUCUCCCUGCCGAGCAUCCUUCCAACUUGUGUAUAAUAAGGAGAUGAAGUUGAAAGAAGACGUCAAUGAACAUAGUAGUUUUUUUAAUCUAAAAAAUACAAACAGGCUUUAAAAGACCAUAUGUAAGUCUUCUUUAGUUUCCAAACCACAAUAGAUGUACUAGGCAUGAUUAUUCUAAGGUCCCUGCAAUAAAUGAAAUCCGAGGUAGUUCCAACAAAUGAUGAAUUCAUGGUGGAAAAAUAAUUUCACUCAUUUGCUGUCUUAUCAUAGGUUUUGUUUUCUCUCCAAAAAAUACAUAGUUGGGGUGAGGGGGCAAUACAGAAAAAAAAGAAACGGGGGAUGAUUGCAUUGUUUACAAAGCAAAAAGGAAAUUAUUUGGUUCUGUGAAUGCAAAAUGUUUUGACAGUAUUUCCGAUUUUGCAGGACAUCUGGUGUAGAUGAUAUCGAGGGCAUUAGAAGUAAAUAGCUAAAUUCUGUUAUUAGUUCUGUUACUAUUCUACCAUAUGGAAAUAUUUUUAUUUUUCCCCUCAGUUUAAUUCAUUGUUGACUUGGGAGAGAAAAAAUCCAAUUAAAAAUGACAUGUGAACUGCUUGUCACCCAACUCUUGGUUGCCUAACAUUGUGGCCUAUUUUUUGUAUAGAGACCCAGUUCUUGAAUUAGCCUCUAUAAAUAUGUUUCCAUGUAUUGGCUUGAAUUUUGUAUAGAAAUCAGAGUUGUAAAAAAUUAAAGGUCUGGAAGACUCAGUCUUGUUAAAAUGUCAAUUCACUCCAAAUUAAUUUAUGUAUAGGUUCAGUGCAAACCUAAUAAAAAUCUUAGUAAGUUGUUUUGUGGAUAAUGACAAGCUGAUUCUAAAACUCAUAUUUAAAAGCAAAGAAACCUCAAUAGCCAAAGCAAUUUUGAUAAAAUAACAAAGAUAGAACCCUCACACUACAUAAUUUCAAGACUUACUGUGAAGCCACGUUAAUCAAGACAGCAUGGUGUUGGUGAACGCAUGAAUCAAACUGAUGGGGUCUAGACUCAAUGACUUCCCAAUAAUAAUGAACAAACCUACAGCCCAGAUAUCUGUUUCUAAAUGCCAUUUUACAGUAGAAGAAACCAGACCUCCUUGUAGAAUUAGUUGAAUCCCAGGACGGGACAGGGAAAACUUAAGAUAAGCCUAGAGCAUCUAGUGGUGCCAGAAAGUAAGGAAGUGCUCAAAAAAGAAUGGGGGCAUGUCCAAAGCUCACAGGAGCCAACAUGAAAGAGCUCCCAAUGUCCCAAGUCUGAGCAAGUUAAUGAUAGAUUAUUUUUAUCAAGAGAAUACAAUAAGCAUCCAUGAGUCUAUGACAUAAAGAAAUGAAUGAAUGAAUGAAUGGGAGAUAACAGCUCUCCCAAUGAAUAAAUGUAGAAAGAAGAUGGAAAUAUGAAUUCACCAAUAGAAUGCCACAGUAAUAAUUGUUGCAGGCAAGAUGUACCAACGAAAGCCAAAAUUCGUGGGUAAAACUUUGAGGAUAAAGAUUAUAUGUGCCUAGUGCAAAAUUAUCUCCUUCAAGAUACCCAUUAAUUGCUAAAGGAAAAAUAGUAAUUUUAAAAAUGGAAACACCUGGCAGAUGCCAUCUCAGCCAAGUGAUCAAGAUUAACAUCACCAGUAAAAAGACAUACUGACAUCCCAUACUUCCUGAUUUGAUACACUAAGAAGGGCUUAUCGUUUCUGUGGUACUCUUGGCCAACAAUGCGCAAGUAACAUUUAUUCAUUGAAACACAUUAGGCAGAACCAAAUUGCAGGACAUUCCUCAAAAUAGCUGUGCAAUACUCUUCAAAAGUGUCAGAUCCUGGAAGACAAAGAGAUACUGAGGAACCAUCACAGAGUGGGAGAGGACAUGGAGACAUAAAAACUAACUGUAAUGUGGAAUCCUACAUUGGAUCAUGGACCAGAAAGAGAACACUGAUGGGAAGACUGAUGAAAUCUGAGUAAGUCUGUAGUUUGGUUUAGAGAAUAAUAAUAAUAACAAUAACGGUUUAGGUGCUGACUCCUUAAUAAAAUUCCCCUAGUUACUGUAAUGUCUAAAAAUGAAGCCCCCAUGGUGGGCUACUGUGACUAUUCACUGCAUUUAAGAAUAAAGAAUAAUUAAGGAUGUGUGAAUAGAUGGUAAUAAGUUAAUAACUCAGAUGGUGCUGCUAAUACAUAACAACCCAAGGAGACAGCAUCAUGUAACGAAAAUAUUUUCACACUUCAUAAUCUAUUGAACUCCUCUCUGUUUCUCUCUGGCCUCCCAAUCUGUUGUUCUCUCUCUUUUUCUUUCCAUCUGUCUCUUUCUUUCUCUCCCCCUCUACUUUUACUCAUACUUCUGCAUUAUGUUCAUAUACAGUAUAGAACUGAAGUAUAUUUUUAAGUAACUGAUAUUGUUAUCAAGUCCCAGAGCUUCUCUACUGAAGCUUUUAAAGAGUUUCUGUCUUCCAAAAUAAAAAGCUAAAGCUGCAUUGUGGUGAUUGUUCUUCCAUGUAAGUCUUAAAUUGAUAUAGCAUGUGUGAGAUUACUGGCUCUUGGUAGGAAAUGUUUUCUUCUCUAUGGCAAAAAUCUUAGAAGUCCAUUCAGAAUGAUGCUGUCAGAAUGUAUUUUCAUGGGAUGCUUUGAAAUAGACAAAAAAAAAAAAAAAAAAACAGCACACAGCACACAAAGAUUUUAUUCUUUAACAUUGUAAAUCAACUCAGUUUUUACCUUCUUGUUCAUAAUCAUGGUGCAAUGUAAUACAAUAUAUAGAUGGCCAGUUAAAAUAGGAGUAAUUUCAAAAUUUGAUCAUUCUUUUUCAUAGAAGAGUACAAUUUUUACUUGCAAAAAAAAGAGUUAAUCAAAUUUUGUUACAUUUCCUUCUCCAUCUCCACUACAUUUUCAGAAAAAAAAAACAAAUUAUAUUGAUUGCUAAUAUGGUACAGAUUAGACAGACAAGAGGUGCUCCUUGAGUUAGCUACCCCAUAAUUUAUUAAAAAAUUAAUUUCAAAUGGAGCUUGAGCACUUUCAAAAUCUGGCUGUCAUCCUAAAUACCUUCUCUGGGGGAUGCAAACUGUUAUUUUUGUUUUAUUUUGCUAUUAAUUUCCUUAGUUGAAUUACCUCUAAUUUAGCUCAGAGAGAGUCUGAUCAAAAAAGAUCAUAAAGAUGAAGAAAGAUAGGAACCUAUGCUUAGAAAGUGAAAUCAAAUACUAUAUAGCAUUUCUCAAAUAUAUUAGGCUUCCUAAUCUAUUUUUCAUUCGCUUCCCAAUUCUGCUUAUAUCUAGCCCUGGACAGAAGUGAACACCAAAUAUAGGAAAAGAGAGUAAACUCCAGGUGUGUGCACGUAAGUAUGCAUGUGUUGUGUGCAUGGGUUGGAGGAGUGAAGCCUGGACUACAGAAAUAUUAUUCUAUAUUUAGAAUAGCAGGCUGAUUGAAAUACCCCAGCUUUGUGCAGAGCUCUCAACUAAAGUUUGCACUAAGGAACAACCAAAAUAACUAGACACUGGAGGAAAUCUGAAAUGGGAAACAGAAAGCUCAAGAUACAAACUUCUAUCCCAUAGCAAAGAGAGAUAAUUCCAGUAACUUAAGGACACUUCAACCCUCCAGUUAGUCCCUCCGAAAAAUAUAAAAAGAUUUUUUGCAUUCAUAAAGCAAGAAUAGGUGAGCUUUCACAAAAUCAAGUUUGCUCAGAUUCUAAAAGGUUCAAAUGAAGAGUUGGAAAAUACAUUUAAGGGAAUCUAUAAGAACAACAACAACAAAAAAACCCUGAGACCAUGAUUAUGGAAGACAUGAUAAGGGACAUAGAGAUGAAAUCAGAAGGUCUCCAGCAAAAACGGGUGGCUGCCUACUCAACAUCAACUCUCUGCUUCCUUCUUAUUAACAUUUAGGGACUUCUGAUGGUUUCUCCUUAUCCCCUUCACCCUUCCCUCAACUCUCUGACUGGGCCACAGGAAGCAUAGAUGGAGAAAGAACAACCAGGUUGGGAUCUGAGGGUGAAAGCUACAUGCUAAAGAUGAUGACUCCGGAAGAGGGACUGACCCUGGAUUUUUACAACAUCAUGGAAUUGCCACACCAGACAAAGACUUCUCCCCUAUAGGUUUCUAAUUACAUGAAAAUUUAAAACCAUAUUUUGUUGAAUGAGCCACUUCAGUCAUAUUUCUGUUUAUCUGGAAGCAGAAAUAAUGGUAUCUAGAAUAAUCAGAUAUUAUCUUAAAAUAAUACCAUCUAAUACAACAUUCAAGAUCCAACUAAUAGAAAAGAAUAAAGAAGGAAGAAAAGGGGGAAGAGAGGGAGAAAGGAAAUAGAUGAGGGAGUCUCAAAGAACAAUAAAAACAAUUUCCAAAAGAUAAAGGGAUGCAAGUGUCUUAUAUUUGGAAAACUGUCCCAAGGGCUGGCGCAGUUAAUCACAUCUCCAUAUUUUGUACAACAAGAAAACAAGACAUCAUCUUAAAAGGUCCCAGGGGGGAAAAGAAAAGCAAGUAAUACAGACAAAUAUAAAAAUAAAGUUGAAGAAAAAUUUUAAACUAGAAAUUGUAGCCAGAAUGUCUAAUAAAACAUUUUCAGACAUACAUGGAUUUAGAAAGUUUGUAUUUCCUAUAACCUUCCUUAGAAGUCACAUCAGAAUGUACUUUGGCAAAACAGUAUAAACCAAAAAAAAAAAAAAAAGGCAAUUCAAAAAAUAUUCAACAAAUCCAGAAAAGUAGUGAAAAA